GUCAGUUCUCUGCCUCAACAAGAAUGGAGUGCUCGAAUGAAAAUUUUAGCAGAGUUUUGGGAUAGAAAAUAGAGCUUAGAGAAUAACGUAUCUGGGGUCCCCCUUUUAUAGACGGGGGGAGCAAAGGAUUGAUAGCGACUGUUUAUGAUCGCCUCAUCGUGGGCCGUAUGGAGCCAGGAGGAAUUUAUCAUGAAGAGUAAUGAGGUGGAGUCAUGGCUGUCACCAUGGCUCACCACAUGGAAUCAGUUGCGGAGAGUGGAGCGGCGUCUGUUGUCGCGAUUCACCAGGGAGUAGUGGAACUGCACAGAAUCCAUUGUAGGAAGUGGAGCAGAAUCGUGGCCGUUACUGCGGCCUGGCAGGGAGUGAUGGAGCCGUGUAGGAUCUGUCA
rnacentral:lncRNA from 1 species